GGCUCAGGACGAACGCUGGCGGCGUGCCUAAUACAUGCAAGUCGAGCGGACUUGAAGGAGUGCUUGCACUCCUGAGAGUUAGCGGCGGACGGGUGAGUAACACGUAGGCAACCUGCCCUCAAGACUGGGAUAACUACCGGAAACGGUAGCUAAUACCGGAUAAUUUAUUACAUAGCAUUAUGUGAUAAUGAAAGACGGAGCAAUCUGUCACUUGGGGAUGGGCCUGCGGCGCAUUAGCUAGUUGGUGGGGUAACGGCCCACCAAGGCGACGAUGCGUAGCCGACCUGAGAGGGUGAACGGCCACACUGGGACUGAGACACGGCCCAGACUCCUACGGGAGGCAGCAGUAGGGAAUCUUCCGCAAUGGGCGAAAGCCUGACGGAGCAACGCCGCGUGAGUGAUGAAGGUUUUCGGAUCGUAAAGCUCUGUUGCCAAGGAAGAACGUCUCAUAGAGUAACUGC
rnacentral:rRNA from 1 species